rnacentral:rRNA from 1 species
GACGAACGCUGGCGGCGUGCUUAACACAUGCAAGUCGAACGGAAAGGCCCUGCUUGCAGGGUACUCGAGUGGCGAACGGGUGAGUAACACGUGGGUGAUCUGCCCUGCACUUCGGGAUAAGCCUGGGAAACUGGGUCUAAUACCGGAUAGGAGCCAUUUUUAGUGUGAUGGUUGGAAAGUUUUUUCGGUGUAGGAUGAGCUCGCGGCCUAUCAGCUUGUUGGUGGGGUAAUGGCCUACCAAGGCGGCGACGGGUAGCCGGCCUGAGAGGGUGGACGGCCACAUUGGGACUGAGAUACGGCCCAGACUCCUACGGGAGGCAGCAGUGGGGAAUAUUGCACAAUGGGCGCAAGCCUGAUGCAGCGACGCCGCGUGGGGGAUGACGGCCUUCGGGUUGUAAACUCCUUUCGCUAGGGACGAAGCUUUUCGUGACGGUACCUUGAUAAGAAGCACCGGCUAACUACGUG